rnacentral:rRNA from 1 species
AGAGUUUGAUCCUGGCUCAGAAUGAACGUUGGCGGCGUGGAUUAGGCAUGCAAGUCGAGCGAGGAAACAUGUAGCAAUACGUGUUAUUCGAGCGGCGUAAGGGGCAGUAAUACCUGGGAACGUACCCUGAGGUCGGGGAUAGCUGCUGGAAACGGCGAGUAAUACCCGAUGAUCUCGAGAGAGCAAAGGCUUGCCGCCUUCGGAGCGGCCCAGGCGAUAUUAGCUAGUUGGUGGGGUAAUGGCCUACCAAGGCAUAGAUGUCUAGCGGGUGUGAGAGCACGACCCGCGCCACUGGCACUGAGACACUGGCCAGACACCUACGGGUGGCUGCAGUCGAGAAUCUUCGGCAAUGAGCGCAAGCUUGACCGAGCGACGCCGCGUGCGGGAUGAAGGCCUUCGGGUUGUAAACCGCUUUGGUCCGAAAGAAAGGGAAACUUGAUCGAUCGGAGAAACAAGGACGGGCUAAGUUCGUGCCAGCAGCCGCGGUAAGACGAACCGUCCAAACGUUAUUCGGAAUCACUGGGCUUAAAGGGCGCGUAGGCGGCCGAGCGGGUCACGGGUGAAAUCCCCCAGCUUAACUGGGGAACUGCCCUUGAUACCACUGCGGCUCGAGGAAGGAAGGGGCAAUCGGAACUGUCGGUGGAGCGGUGAAAUGCGUUGAUAUCGACAGGAACGCCGGUGGCGAAAGCGGAUUGCUGGUCCUUUUUUGACGCUGAGGCGCGAAAGCCAGGGGAGCAAACGGGAUUAGAUACCCCGGUAGUCCUGGCCUUAAACGAUGAGAACUAGGUAGUGGGUCCGAC